GAUGAACGCUAGCGGCAGGCUUAAUACAUGCAAGUCGAACGGUAAGUGUAGUAGCAAUAUUAUACGAGAGUGACGUACGGGUGCGUAACACGUAUGCAACCUACCUUGUACAGGAGGAUAGCUCGGGGAAACUCGAAUUAACCCUCCAUGAGAUCACAGUGUGGCAUCACAUAGUGAUUAAAACUCAGGUGGUACAAGAUGGGCAUGCGUCUGAUAGUUAGUUGGCGGGGUAACGGCCCACCAAGACGAUGAUCAGUAGGGGACCUGAGA
rnacentral:rRNA from 1 species